ACCUUUAGCUGUGAUCUUGUUAGUUCUUGUAAGCAAAGCAUGUUUAGGCUUGGUCAGUACUUGGAUGGGAAAGCAGCAGAGAAAAGCCAGGUGUUGAAGGAA
rnacentral:rRNA from 1 species